UGGGGAAUAUUGCACAAUGGGCGCAAGCCUGAUGCAGCCAUGUCGCGUGUGUGAAGAAGGCCUUCGGGUUGUAAAGCACUUUCAGCGGGGAGGAAGGCGAUAAGGUUAAUAACCUUGUCGAUUGACGUUACCCGCAGAAGAAGCACCGGCUAACUCCGUGCCAGCAGCCGCGGUAAUACGGAGGGUGCAAGCGUUAAUCGGAAUUACUGGGCGUAAAGCGCACGCAGGCGGUCUGUCAAGUCGGAUGUGAAAUCCCCGGGCUCAACCUGGGAACUGCAUUCGAAAAUGGCAGGCUAGAGUCUUGUAGAGGGGGGUAGAAUUCCAGGUGUAGCGGUGAAAUGCGUAGAGAUCUGGAGGAAUACCGGUGGCGAAGGCGGCCCCCUGGACAAAGACUGACGCUCAGGUGCGAAAGCGUGGGGAGCAAACAGG
rnacentral:rRNA from 1 species